GAAAUUUUCGUGGAUAGUCACUGAACUUCUCUUAGCCAAGAAGUCUCGCUCUAAGAGACAAAGUGUACGAUCAUUUGAUUGCAAAUGGCACUGAGCCUGGCACUGGAGGACUACUGAUGCUGAUAUGCCAGACAUCAAAGAUAACAUGAAGGCACUAGUGAUCAAGAGAAGGAUAAGAAUGAAGAGAAUCAAAAUGAUGAAUUGGAGUAGCAACACAUGAAAUCGAGGUUGCUAGGAAAAUGGAUGCAUAUGGCGAGAUGAUAACAUAUGGAGUACAAAUCAGAUAUAUUAGAUCUAGUUUUAGAUUACCAUAUGAAUACGUACAUUCUUGUUGGAUGAUUUUGAUUUUAGAUUGAAAAUAUAUGUUGUUUUAUUUCAUUAGUUUAUUAUUUAUGAAAGUAGCUCUAAUAAGUGUACAAUAUUCUAUUAUUAUUAAAAUAUAUAUAAUUGUCAUUUCAUA